UGGCUUAUUAGUGAAUAAAAAGCUCUUUGAAUCUUCUUUCUCUAAACUCAAUAGAUUUUUCCAUACUAGUAGAAAAAAAAAAAUCAGGCAGAGGAUGGUUGUCAACAGAUUUGUUUUCAUAAAAGUACUUCUUGAUAAGAAUUUCAAAAUUUAUCUUGGUUUGGACUUGCUUUAUUGCACUUUGACUGAACACACCAUAAAAUUUAAGAACUAGCUCUAACAUUUUCUAACUAGUUCUAACGGAACAAGAACUAAAGAUAAAAGCUGCAGUUCCGCUGGAUGGAUCUACUUUACAAGCUUUUGAACACCAGAAGUUCAGCUCAGAUUGUCGAUAUUAAACUAAUUGCAAAACGACCACGGAAAAUUACAGCUGCUCUAAAGCCGUAGCUUUAGCUUCAACCAGAAUAUUGACCAAUGAUAAGUAAAUGAGUUGUUUUGGCAAUAAAACAAAAUUUUUUGCAAAGUGACUGAUGAUAGCAAAAUUGGAUUGAACCUGGAUACGCAGUUUUUCAUAUAAAAUAUGGAUGUAAAGUAACAUUAAUAGAAAUAAGAUCGCAUUCAUUA